CCUACGGGUGGCAGCAGUAGGGAAUAUUGCUCAAUGGGGGAAACCCUGAAGCAGCAACGCCGCGUGGAGGAUGAAGGUUUUCGGAUUGUAAACUCCUUUUGUUAGAGAAGAUAAUGACGGUACCUAACGAAUAAGCACCGGCUAACUCCGUGCCAGCAGCCGCGGUAAUACGGAGGGUGCAAGCGUUAUCCGGAAUUACUGGGCGUAAAGAGCGCGUAGGCGGGAUAGCAAGUCAGAUGUGAAAUGCUAUGGCUUAACCAUGGAACUGCCUUUGAAACUGUUAAUCUAGAGUGUGGGAGAGGUAAGUGGAAUUCUUGGUGUAGGGGUGAAAUGCGUAGAGAUUAGGAGGAACACUCGUUGCGAAGGCGGCCUACUAGAACAUAACUGACGUUGAGGCGCGAAAGCGUGGGGAGCAAACAGGAUUAGAUACCCCAGUAGUC
rnacentral:rRNA from 1 species